rnacentral:tRNA from 1 species
AUUCAAGUAGUUUAUAAAAAUAUUAGUUUGUGGAACUAGAGAUGUGUAUUAAUUACCUUGGAUA